CUUAUGGUGAGUACCGAAUAUCUCCGUUUUUCCCAUGUAAAAGUGGGGGGCAGACUGGCUUUGUUUCAUCAUGCUUGGAAAAUUUUAACCGCAGAUGUUUGGGUAUUAAAUACGAUACAAGGGUACCUAUUGGAGUUAACCUCCCACCCGGUUCAGACACAGUUCCCUCGGGAACUAAAUAUGGCCAGCCAACACCAGAUGAUGAUCUCAACAGAGAUCACAGAGUUAGCGUCAAAAAAACGCUAUCCAACAAAUCCCAUGGGACAGAGAAGGAUUCGUGAGCAACUUGUUUCUGGU